GAUGAACGUUGGCGGCGUGGAUAAGGCAUGCAAGUCGAGGGGCAGCGGUAUCGAAAGCUUGCUUUCGGUAGCCGGCGACCGGCGCACGGGUGAGUAACGCGUAUCGAACCUGCCUCAUACUCGGGAAUAGCCUUGCGAAAGUAAGAUUAAUGCCCGGUGUUUUCAGAGUCCCGCAUGAGGCUUUGAACAAAGAUUUAUCGGUAUGAGAUGGCGAUGCGUCCCAUUAGCUUGUUGGCGGGGUAACGGCCCACCAAGGCAGCGAUGGGUAGGGGUUCUGGGAGGAAGGUCCCCCACAUUGGAACUGAGACACGGUCCAAACUCCUACGGGAGGCAGCAGUGAGGAAUAUUGGUCAAUGGGCGGAAGCCUGAACCAGCCAAGUAGCGUGCAGGAAGACGGCCCUCCGGGUUGUAAACUGCUUUUAGUUGGGAAUAAAACGGGGCUCGUGAGCCCCCUUGCAUGUACCAUCAGAAAAAGGACCGGCUAAUUCCGUGCCAGCCGCCGCCGUAA
rnacentral:rRNA from 1 species